rnacentral:rRNA from 1 species
GAAGGUGGCCUGUGAGGGUUGCUGGAGGUAUCAGAAGUGCGAAUGCUGACAUAAGUAACGAUAAAGCGGGUGAAAAGCCCGCUCGCCGGAAGACCAAGGGUUCCUGUCCAACGUUAAUCGGGGCAGGGUGAGUCGACCCCUAAGGCGAGGCCGAAAGGCGUAGUCGAUGGGAAACGGGUUAAUAUUCCCGUACUUGGUGUUACUGCGAAGGGGGGACGGAGAAGGCUAUGUUGGCCGGGCGACGGUUGUCCCGGUUUAAGCGUGUAGGUGUGUGUUCCAGGUAAAUCCGGUUCACUUUAACACUGAGGCGUGACGACGAGGCACUACGGUGCUGAAGCAACAAAUGCCCUGCUUCCAGGAAAAGCCUCUAAGCAUCAGGUAACAUCAAAUCGUACCCCAAACCGACACAGGUGGUCAGGUAGAGAAUACCAAGGCGCUUGAGAGAACUCGGGUGAAGGAACUAGGCAAAAUGGUGCCGUAACUUCGGGAGAAGGCACGCUGACACGUAGGUGAAGUGAUUUACUCAUGGAGCUGAAGUCAGUCGAAGAUACCAGCUGGCUGCAACUGUUUAUUAAAAACACAGCACUGUGCAAACACGAAAGUGGACGUAUACGGUGUGACGCCUGCCCGGUGCCGGAAGGUUAAUUGAUGGGGUCAGCGCAAGCGAAGCUCCUGAUCGAAGCCCCGGUAAACGGCGGCCGUAACUAUAACGGUCCUAAGGUAGCGAAAUUCCUUGUCGGGUAAGUUCCGACCUGCACGAAUGGCGUAAUGAUGGCCAGGCUGUCUCCACCCGAGACUCAGUGAAAUUGAACUCGCUGUGAAGAUGCAGUGUACCCGCGGCAAGACGGAAAGACCCCGUGAACCUUUACUAUAGCUUGACACUGAACAUUGAGCCUUGAUGUGUAGGAUAGGUGGGAGGCUUUGAAGUGUGGACGCCAGUCUGCAUGGAGCCGACCUUGAAAUACCACCCUUUAAUGUUUGAUGUUCUAACGUGGACCCGUAAUCCGGGUUGCGGACAGUGUCUGGUGGGUAGUUUGACUGGGGCGGUCUCCUCCUAAAGAGUAACGGAGGAGCACGAAGGUUGGCUAAUCCUGGUCGGACAUCAGGAGGUUAGUGCAAUGGCAUAAGCCAGCUUGACUGCGAGCGUGACGGCGCGAGCAGGUGCGAAAGCAGGUCAUAGUGAUCCGGUGGUUCUGAAUGGAAGGGCCAUCGCUCAACGGAUAAAAGGUACUCCGGGGAUAACAGGCUGAUACCGCCCAAGAGUUCAUAUCGACGGCGGUGUUUGGCACCUCGAUGUCGGCUCAUCACAUCCUGGGGCUGAAGUAGGUCCCAAGGGUAUGGCUGUUCGCCAUUUAAAGUGGUACGCGAGCUGGGUUUAGAACGUCGUGAGACAGUUCGGUCCCUAUCUGCCGUGGGCGCUGGAGAACUGAGGGGGGCUGCUCCUAGUACGAGAGGACCGGAGUGGACGCAUCACUGGUGUUCGGGUUGUCAUGCCAAUGGCACUGCCCGGUAGCUAAAUGCGGAAGAGAUAAGUGCUGAAAGCAUCUAAGCACGAAACUUGCCCCGAGAUGAGUUCUCCCUGAGACUU